rnacentral:rRNA from 1 species
GGAAGGGCACCACCAGGCGUGGAGCCUGCGGCUUAAUUUGACUCAACACGGGGAAACUCACCAGGUCCAGACACGAUGAGGAUUGACAGAUUGAGAGCUCUUUCUUGAUUUCGUGGGUGGUGGUGCAUGGCCGUUCUUAGUUCGUGGGGUGGCUUGUCUGCUUAAUUGCGAUAACGAACGAGACCUUAACCUGCUAAAUAGCCCGGUUGGCUUCGGCCGGCCGCGGGCUUCUUAGAGGGACUAUCGGCUCAAGCCGAUGGAAGUUUGAGGCAAUAACAGGUCUGUGAUGCCCUUAGAUGUCCUGGGCCGCACGCGCGCUACACUGACGGAGCCAGCGAGUUCACUCCUUGGCCGAGAGGCUUGGGUAAUCUUGUUAAACUCCGUCGUGCUGGGGAUAGAGCAUUGCAAUUAUUGCUCUUCAACGAGGAAUGCCUAGUAAGCGCGUGUCAUCAGCACGCGUUGAUUACGUCCCUGCCCUUUGUACACACCGCCCGUCGCUACUACCGAUUGAACGACUCAGUGAGGCCUUCGGACUGGCCCAGGGAGGUCGGCAACGACCACCCAGGGCCGGAAAGUUGGUCGAACUCGGCCGUUUAGAGGAAGUAAAAGUCGUAACAAGGUCUCCGUAGGUGAACCUGCGGAGGGAUCAUUACCGAGCGCCCAACUACCCCGUAGGGGUUGAAGGCCUCAUCAUCCUUUGUUUAAACCGCCUUUUGUUCUGCAUGCCCCGCCGCCAUUCGAGGUGGUUCUCGCAGGGAGGCGGGCUGCUUAAAAUUCUACUGCAACUGUGGUUUGUCUGAGUGGGCUUCUGUAUACAACCUGUAACGAUGGAUCUCUUGGCUCUGGCAUCGAUGAAGAACGCAGCGAAACGCGAUAGGUGCUGCCAAUCGCUUACUAGCUUACCGUGAGGCAUCGAAUCUUUGAACGCAUAUUGCGCCCCCUUUCGAGGGGGCACGCCUGUCCGAGCGCCGUUUUGUACCUCAAGUGAAAGAGCUUGAAGUUGGGUGCUUGCCCGCGAGGGCACGCCUUAAAGGAACGUGACGUAUUGUCGGCACCCUUCUAAGCGCACAGUGCCUGACAGCCUGCGUUUAGAGGGUUUACCGGCCCGUCUACUUGCUGCUUUCUGCACGCAUGGCCUCGGAUCAGGCGGGGCUACCCGCUGAACUUAAGCAUAUCAGUAAGCGGAGGAAAAGAAACCAACAGGGAUUGCCCUAGUAACGGCGAGUGAAGAGGCAAAAGCUCAGAUUUGAAAUCUGGCCCUUUUGGGGGUCCGAGUUGUAGUCUGCAGAGGGUGCUUCGGCAAGGUUCCCGCCCCGAGUCCCUUGGGAUAGGACGCCAUAGAGGGUGAGAGCCCCGUGUCUGGGCGGGCAGCCGCGCUAUGUGAAGCCCCUUCGAAGAGUCGAGCUGUUUGAGAAUGCAGCUCUAAGCGGGUGGUAAAUUCCAUCUAAAGCUAAAUAUCUGCUGGAGACCGAUAGCGCACAAGUAGAGUAAUCGAAAGGUGAAAAGCACUUUGGAAAGAGAGUGAAAUAGCAUGUGAAAUCGUUACAGGGGAAGCGCAUGCGGCCAGAACUCGCCAGCGGAGGCACCGCCAACCUUGCGGUUGGUGCACUCCUCUGUGGGCGGGCCAGCAUCGGCUUGGGCAGCCGCGUAAAGGUACUGGGAAUUCGGCCCCUCUGGGGUGUUGUAGCCCAGAACUGAAUGCGGCUUGCCUAGGCCGAGGACCGCGCUUUGGCUAGGUUGCUGGCAUAAUGGCAAUAUGCGGCCCGUCUUGAAACACGGACCAAGGAGUCUAGCGUCUAUGCGAGUGCUUGGGUGCCAAACCCGGGUGCGUAAUGAAAGUGAUAUUGGGUGGGAGCCCUCUGGGGUGCACCAUCGACCGAUCCUGAGGUCUUCCGAUGGAUUUGAGUAAGAGCAUAGCCGCUGGGACCCGAAAGAUGGUGAACUAUGCGUGAACAGGGCGAAGCCAGAGGAAACUCUGGUGGAGGCUCGCAGCGGUUCUGACGUGCAAAUCGAUCGUCAAAUUUGCGUAUAGGGGCGAAAGACCAAUCGAACCA